rnacentral:rRNA from 1 species
AUAAGUAAGAGCUUGGACGUGGCUCUGGAUGAACGGUAUCUAGUGGCGUCACACAUGCGAGUCCAAUGACCAGUUGGUCAUGGCGUACGGGUGAGUAGAGGAAGGAACCUGCCUUCAGCUUCGGUUUAAUGCCGUAAAAGGAAAGGUUUUCGACUGAAGAUGGGCCUUUAUUGGAAUAGAUAGUUGGUGGAGGUAACGGCCUACCAAGUCGAUGAACCAUAGCUGGCCUGAAAGGGUAAUCAGUCACAGUGGCACUGAAACAAGGGCCACCCGACCGAGGGUCGGCAGCAGUGGGGAAUAUUGGACAAUGAGGGCAACCUUGAUCCAGCCAACUAGAUGGGAGAUUCCUAUUAAGGUUCUAUCCCUAAGGUAGAGGAGCAUGAUGAGAUCUCUCUGCUAUCAGUCCCGACCAAACCUCGUGCCCGCGGUAAUACGAGGGGGGUUUCCGUUAUCCGUCAUAAAUGGGCCUAAAGAGUCUCUAGGCAGCCCGGUAAGCUUGAGAAAAUUGGAUGAAGAGAUCUGCAGU